AGCUCUGAAGUAGUAAACUACGUUGGAUUGCAAAUCCAAAGAUGGAGGUUAAGCCCUCCCGGGGCUU
rnacentral:tRNA from 1 species